GCUGCUAUAGCUCAGUAGGUAUGAGCGCGUCCUUGGUAAGGACGAGGUCCCCGGUUCAAGCCCGGGUAGCAGCU
rnacentral:tRNA from 1 species